AAUUUCGAGCACUACAGAAGAAGACGUCAUUUUCACGAUGGCGACAGCCUGUAGGACUGCAUUUGCGGGGGUAAAUGUUUUUCACUCCUCGUUUUGUGCACCUUAACAGGCAGCACACGGUCGGACCCGUAAGAUAAAGGAAAACCUCAGACAAGAGGACGUUGUUCCUUACCUGGCAGGAGAGAGACGUGGAAACUCUUGCAGAGCAACAUCGAGUCGCAUGCACAGACUAUUGCUGUGCAGCUCUCCAGAAAAGCCAGGUGGACAUCGGAGAGAAUAAAAAAGCAGAUCAUCUCCUACAAUGGAGGGAACAAGUCACCUCAAUUCCCCCUAAGACUGGAGUACAUUGAUGUUCUCCAGCAAGACCAUCCAGUCUGGUCCCAGGUGUCCAAACAUUUGGGGGAUAGUCUGCUCUGGGCCAAGCAGGGUGCAGUGUGAAGUGAUGCUGCACAAGGUCCUAAACGAUAUCAUAACCGCCAUCGAUAAAAGACUGUACUGUGCAGCCAACUUCAUCGACCUGGCCAAGGCUUUUGACUCUGUCAAUCACCGUAUUUUUAUCGGCAGACUCAACAGCCUUGGUUUCACUAAUGACCUCCUCGUCUGGUUCACUAACUUCUUCUCAGAUAGAGUUCAGUGUGUCAAAUCGGAGGGCCUGUUGUCCGGACCUCUGGCAGUCAAUGGGGGUGCCACAGGGUUAAAUUCUCGGGCCGACACUCUUCUCUGUAUAUAUCAACGAUGUCACUCUUUCUGCGGUU